rnacentral:rRNA from 1 species
GACGAACGCUGGCGGCGUGCUUAACACAUGCAAGUCGAACGGAAAGGCCCUGCUUGCUGGGUACUCGAGUGGCGAACGGGUGAGUAACACGUGGGUGAUCUGCCCUGCACUUCGGGAUAAGCCUGGGAAACUGGGUCUAAUACCGGAUAGGAGCCAUUUUUAGUGUGAUGGUUGGAAAGUUUUUUCGGUGUAGGAUGAGCUCGCGGCCUAUCAGCUUGUUGGUGGGGUAAUGGCCUACCAAGGCGGCGACGGGUUGCCGGGCUGAGGGGGUGGGCGGCCACCAUGAGGCCUAGGGGAGGCCCCAGUGUCUACGGGAGGCAGCAGUGGGGAAUAUUGCACAAUGGGCGCCAGCCGGGUGCAGCGACGCCGCGUGGGGGAUGACGGCCUUCGGGUUGAAGACUCCUUUCGCUAGGGACGAAGCUUUUUGUGACGGUACCUAGAUAAGAAGCACCGGCUAACUACGUG